GACGAACGCUGGCGGCGUGCUUAACACAUGCAAGUCGAACGGAAAGGCCCUGCUUUUGUGGGGUGCUCGAGUGGCGAACGGGUGAGUAACACGUGAGUAACCUGCCCUUGACCUUGGGAUAACUUCAGGAAACUGGGGCUAAUACCGGAUAGGGGCUCCUGCUGCAUGGUGGGGGUUGGAAAGUUUCGGCGGUUGGGGAUGGACUCGCGGCUUAUCAGCUUGUUGGUGGGGUAGUGGCUUACCAAGGCUUUGACGGGUAGCCGGCCUGGGAGGGUGACCGGCCACAUUGGGACUGAGAUACGGCCCAGACUCCUACGGGAGGCAGCAGUGGGGAAUAUUGCACAAUGGGCGGAAGCCUGAUGCAGCAACGCCGCGUGCGGGAUGACGGCCUUCGGGUUGUAAACCGCUUUCGCCUGUGACGAAGCGUGAGUGACGGUAAUGGGUAAAGAAGCACCGGCUAACUACGUG
rnacentral:rRNA from 1 species